AUACGGAGGGUGCGAGCGUUAAUCGGAAUUACUGGGCGUAAAGGGUGCGUAGGUUGUUUGAUAAGUUAUCUGUAAAAUCCCCGGGCUUAACCUGGGCAGGUCAGAUAAGACUGUUGGACUUGAGUACAGGAGAGGGCAGUGGAAUUUCCGGUGUAGCGGUGAAAUGCGUAGAGAUCGGAAGGAACACCAGUGGCGAAGGCAGCCCCCUGGGAUGACACUGACGCUCAUGUACGAAAGCGUGGGUAGC
rnacentral:rRNA from 1 species